UUUUUUUUUUUUUUUUAAUCCUUUUAGGGCAGCACCUGUGGCAUACGGAAGUUCCCCGGCUAGGGGUCGAAUCGGAGCUGCAUCUGCCGGCCUACACCACAGCCACAGCAAUGCCAGAUCUGAGCCACAUCUGCGACCUACACCUCAGCUCAUGGCAAUGCUGGAUCCUUAACCCAUUGUGAAGCCAGGGAUCGAACCCGAGUCCUCAUGGAUACUAGUUGGUUUCGUUACUGCUGAGCCACAACAACAACUCCUUUUUUUUUUUUUUUUAAUUUAAUAAACAUAUAUAGCUCCAUUCUGUGUGGGAUUAAAACCUAAGGCUAAGAAAAAUAAAUCAGAGUCCUUCCCUUGAAGAGCUCACCAUCUAGUAGGGAACAAAGGAAGACUGAAGUUUUUAUAGUGCAGCCAGUAAUUUAACAGAGUUGUGUAUGAUGGGAACACAGAGUUAUUCCAUGAAGUUCAUGAGUGAAUCACUGAAUGAAUGAUUUCAUAUUUCAUCCAGAAGGAAUAUUAUGUGUCAGGUGUUGUGUUUGGCACUAGGGUAGGGGCCCAUAACAUCCUUAUCAAAGCCUGUAUUCUGUCCAUGGCUAUCUUUUAAUGCUUUUAUUAAGUCAUAAUUGACAUACAGUACAAUAACAUGCAAUCUGAUAAGUUUUCAUCAGUGUCUGUAUUUCACUACAAUCAAGAUAGUGAAUCUGCAGGAGUUCCCACUGUGGCUCAGUGGGUUACAAACCCAACCAAUAUCCAUGAGGAUGCAGGUUCAAAUCCUGGCCUCCAUCAGUGGGUUAAGGAUAUGGUGUUGCAAGCUAUGGCGUAGGUUGCAGAUGAAGCUCAAAUCCUGCGUUGCUGUGGCUGUGGUGUAAGCCGUCAGCUGCAGCUCCAAUUCAGCCUCUUGCCCGGGAACUUGCAUAUGCUGUGGGUGUGGCCCUAACAAAACAAAACAAAAAAAGCCAAGGAGAGUGGUCUUAUAAGAAACCAAACCUUCUGACACAUCUAUCUCAGACUUUUUGCCUCCAGAAUUGUGAGAUAAUUAAUGUAUGUUGUCUAAGUCCCUCAGUCUAUGUAGCAGUAGUGGAUACAGUAGCCCAAGCCACUACUAUACUUGCUAGACUUACUUAUUAGUUUUCCAUAGGAUAGUCUAUAUAGGCAAUCAUAUUGUCAGUAAAUAUAGUUUUACUUCUUCCUUUCCAAUCUGGAUGCCUUUUCUUUUUCUCAUGUAAUUGCUCUGACUAGGACUUCCAGUACAAUACUGAAUAAAUGUUGCAAAAUAUUACUUCAUGCUUUAAUUUUUCAUCUAUAAAAUAUGGAUAAUAAUAGUAUGUAUCUCCUCAGGCUGUUUUAAGGAUUGAAAUGUGUAAGUAUUAUAGCACUCAUAGAACAGUAUCUGGAUAAUCAUAAGUGCUGUAUAAUUUUUUGUUGUUCAUUUAAAAUCAGGGAAGGUGCAGACAAUACUACAAAGCAACAAUCAUCAAAACUGUAUGGUACUGGCGUGAAGACAGAAAUAUAGAUCAGUGGAACAGGAUAGAAAGCCCAGAAUUAAACCCACACACCUACAGCCACCUCAUCUAUGACAAAGGAGGCAAGGAUAUACAAUGGAGAAAAGACAGCUUGUUCAAUAAGUGGUGCUGGGAAAACUGGACAGCCACAUGGAAAAGAAUGAAAUUAGAACACUCCCUAACACCAGACACAAAAAUAAACUCCAAAUGGAUUAAAGACCUAGCUAUAAGACCAGACACUAUAAAACUCUUAGAGGAAAACAUAGGCCAAACACUCUCUGACAUAAACAACAGCAACAUCUUCUCAGAUCCACCUCUUAGAGUAUUGACAAUAAAAACAAACAUAAACAAAUGGGACCUAAUCAAACUUAAAAGUUUCUGCACAGCAAAGGAAACCCUAAACAACACAAAAAGACAACCCACAGAAUGGGAGAAAAUCUUUGCAAUGAAUCAACUGACAAGGGAUUAAUCUCCAAAAUUUAUAAACAACUUCUGCAGCUCCAUACCAAAAAAAACAAACACCCCACCAAAAAAUGGGCAGAAGAUCUAAACAGACAAUUCUCCAAAGAAGACAUACAGAUGGCCGAGAAACACAUGAAAGGAUGUUCAACAUCACUCAUCAUUAGAGAAAUGCAAAUCAAAGCCAUGAUGAAGUACCACAUUAUACCAGCCAGAAUGGCCAUCAUCAAAAAGUCUACAAACAACAAGUGCUGGAGAGGGUGUAGAGAAAAAGGAACACCGUUGGUGGGAUUGUAAAUUGGUGCAACCACUGUGGAAAACAGUAUAGAGACUCCUCAGAAAACUAAAACUAGAAGUACCAUUUGAUCCAUCAAUCCCACUCCUGGGCAUCUAUCCAGAGAAAACCACGACUCGCAAAGAUACAUGUAUUCCGAUGUUCAUUGCAGCACUAUUUGCAAUAGCCAAGACAUGGAAACAACCUGAAUGUCCAUCGACGGAGGAGUGGAUCAAGAAGAUGUGGUACAUAUACACAUACACAAUGGAAUAUUACUCAGCCAUUAAAAGGAAUGAAAUACCGGCAUUUUUUGCAACAUGGAUGGACCCAGAAAUUAUCACGCUAAGUGAAGUCAGCCAUACAAUGAGACACCAACAUGUGGAAUAUGAAAAAAGGACACAAUGAACUUCCUUGCAGAACAGAUACUGACUCACAGACAUGGAAAAACUUAUGGUCUCUGGAGGAGACAGUUUGGGGGGUGGGGGGAUGUGCUUGGGCUGUGGGAUGGAAAUCCUGUGAAAUUAGAUUGUUAUGAUCAUUAUAAAACUACAGAUGUGAUUAAAAAAAAAAUCUGGGAAGGUGACUAGAUUCUGUUUCAAGAGGUUAGCCAGCCAUGUGGGAUCCCAGAUAUGGAUUUUUCUCCAUCUUCUCCCCCCUCCUUGCUGUCCUGGAUAGCACAGUUAGAAUUUUAGACUGGUAGAAUUAUCUAGCUCUACCUCCAGUCCCAGGCAGGAAUCCCUUCUGCAUGCCACAACCUGACCAGUUGCUGACUACGUUCUGAGCAAAAUUCUUCAGGCUGACUCUACAUUCAGGGAAACCUGAAUUUCUCAAUUCUAGGGAAGGCCUGUGAAGUCUAGCUAUGAGGUGACAGUGAGAUUUCCCAGAGGCUGGGAAGCUAAGUUUCUGUGUUCACCGUAUGUAUCACUCAGCCCUUCAGUUGUUUCUACCAUGACACCUGAUGUGGGUGUUUGUAUCUCCUGUGAUAGUCAGAAAUAAACUCCCUGGAGUGGGUCUCUCGAGAACUGGCAGCUCCUGUUUCUUGCCACUAGGGCACUGAAUUAGGGGCAAGGAUAGGGCUGACUUCUCUGCCAUAGCAAUUGCCCAGGUCCUGAGGCAAUAUCUGAAUAAACUCUAGGCUCUUUUUACUUAGCCCCAUGGGGGGGGGGGGGAGAAGAGGAAUUAGACCCAAUCCUUUUAACAUAGCAUGUUAAAAACAUAAAAACAGACAGGACUCAACAGUGUCUGAUUCCAGGGAAUUCUUGGCUAGAAGAUGUCUUGGUUUCAGAUUUAAAUGAGUUUUUUCCUGAGGGAGCAGCAGGUUGCUUUGCUCACUUAAACAGCAUUGUUACAAACAAGCAAGAGCAGAGUCAAAAUUUCCAACUAAACUCUGGUUAAUAGGAACAUAAGGACUGAUGCUGGGCUUUAGAGUUUUACAUUUCUUGAGCCUGGCAGCUGUAUUUUCCCUCUUUCCACUAAAUGCUAUAGUUUAGGGUUUAGGGAAUUAUGCAAAACACACUUGCAGCAUCAGAGCUUAAAUGGGGUAAGAUCCUUGCCCAGAGGUAUUUGCUGAUGAUGGAGGAAAAAGUCUCUUGAAAAUGAUCCAGCUGCAGGAGACUGAGCAAAGGGUCCCCAGCCUUCUUAGUUCCAGGCCUAUUAUUUUUCUUAAAAUAACUUGGAGAAUUAAGUGCAAAAACAUGCCAAUGUCACAUUUGCUGUGUGCAUUUAGUAAUAAAAAACAUGUGCAAUGCAAAGGCGUGUUUAUUCAACUAGCAAUUGCACUGCAAAACUAUCAACAGCUCACAGCCCAACCUGCCUUCCAAAAUACGACCGUGAUGCAUUUAAAAUGUGCAACUGCAACGGAGGUGCCCACAAAGUACCUUAUUCGAAUUUGCAUAUUUGUGUACAAGGACACAAACAGUUUAUAUAGGGCUUUAGUUCGUUUUAAAUGCUAAACAGGCCCCCAUGAUUUGCUUUGCUUAAAAUGCACACUCAAACUUUAUUAAAAACAUGUUUCAAAAAAAGUUUCAUAAAGCUAGCCACCAGCGAGGCUCGCUGGAGGGGUGGAAAAUGGAUCGUGUAUCUUUAACCCGCAGAAGUUAAAAGGUUUUCUUUUUUUGUUAGCUAACAAUGGAAACUUUUUUUUUUUUUUAAGUGUUUCCCUCCCUCGGUCUUGCCAAGCAAUAGAAAAAAAAAAAAAAAAAAAAAAAAAA
rnacentral:lncRNA from 1 species